AUAAUCUUAUCGUUUAAGUCCAAGCACACGUGAUAAAGUUCCCUGAUCCCAUCAAUACAACGCAUUCCCCUCCACGAAUCUUGGGAUCGGCCCAAAACUGUUUCUCCAAUUCGAUUGCAUUGGAACAACAAUUACAGAUUAUUCGCAAAAAAUUCCACCAAUGAUAUGAGCUAAUAACUACGUACACAAAAAAAAAAAACCUAGACCUUUUACCCUUGGUGUUACAUGAGAAGGAAUUCUCAGGCACAUGAUUUGCGUACUGUUUCGAUAUAAUUAAUGUUACCGAU